GUAGGUGGCAAGCGUUGUCCGGAAUUAUUGGGGCGUAAAGCGCGCGCAGGCGGUUCUUUAAGUCUGAUGUGAAAGCCCACGGGCUCAACCGUGGAGGGUCAUUGGAAACUGGAGAACUUGAGUACAGAAGAGGAAAGCGGAAUUCCACGUGUAGCGGUGAAAUGCGUAGAGAUGUGGAGGAACGCCAGUGGCGAAGGCGGCUUUCUGGUCUGUAACUGACGCUGAGGCGCGAAAGCGUGGAGAGCAAACAGGAUUAGAUACCCUGGUAGUCCACGCCGUAAACGAUGAGUGCUAAGUGUUAGGGGGUUUCCGCCCCUUAGUGCUGCAGCUAACGCAUUAAGCACUCCGCCUGGGGAGUACGACCGCAAGGUUG
rnacentral:rRNA from 1 species